rnacentral:rRNA from 1 species
AGUGAACGCUGGCGGUAGGCCUAACACAUGCAAGUCGAACGGCAGCACAGUAAGAGCUUGCUCUUACGGGUGGCGAGUGGCGGACGGGUGAGGAAUACAUCGGAAUCUACUUUUUCGUGGGGGAUAACGUAGGGAAACUUACGCUAAUACCGCAUACGACCUACGGGUGAAAGCAGGGGAUCUUCGGACCUUGCGCGAUUGAAUGAGCCGAUGUCGGAUUAGCUAGUUGGCGGGGUAAAGGCCCACCAAGGCGACGAUCCGUAGCUGGUCUGAGAGGAUGAUCCGCCCACCUUGGACCUGGGCCCCGUCCCAGCCCCCAACGGGAGGCAGCGGUGGGAAUAUUGGGCCAUGGGGGGAAACCCUGUUCCAGCCAUCCGGCUUGGGUGAAGAAGGCCAUCGGUUUUUAAAGCCCUUUUGUUGGGAAAGAAAACCGGCAGGUUAAUACCCGCUGUUCUGACGGUACCCAAAGAAUAAGCACCGGCUAACUUCGUG